rnacentral:rRNA from 1 species
UUCGUAUAGUACCGUCAGUUCACUACGCGUAGUGAGGUUUCUUCCUAUACAAAAGCAGUUUACAACCCGUAGGGCCGUCAUCCUGCACGCGGCAUGGCUGGGUCAGACUUUCGUCCAUUGCCCAAUAUUCCUU